CAGUCGAACGGACUCAUAUUGAAACCUAGUGAUUUAUGAGUUAGUGGCGGACGGGUGAGUAACGCGUGGAUAACCUGCCGUAUACCGGGGGAUAACACUUAGAAAUAGGUGCUAAUACCGCAUAAGCGCACGGCUCCGCAUGGGGCAGUGUGAAAAACUCCGGUGGUAUACGAUGGAUCCGCGUCUGAUUAGCUAGUUGGCGGGGUAACGGCCCACCAAGGCAGCGAUCAGUAGCCGGCCUGAGAGGGUGGACGGCCACAUUGGGACUGAGACACGGCCCAAACUCCUACGGGAGGCAGCAGUGGGGAAUAUUGCACAAUGGGGGAAACCCUGAUGCAGCGACGCCGCGUGAGUGAAGAAGUAUCUCGGUACGUAAAGCUCUAUCAGCAGGGAAGAAAAUGACGGUACCUGACUAAGAAGCCCCGGCUAACUACGUGCCAGCAGCCGCGGUAAUACGUAGGGGGCAAGCGUUAUCCGGAUUUACUGGGUGUAAAGGGAGCGUAGACGGCAGCACAAGUCUGGAGUGAAAUCCCGGGGCUUAACCCCGGAACUGCUUUGGAAACUGUGCGGCUGGAGUGCAGGAGGGGUAAGCGGAAUUCCUAGUGUAGCGGUGAAAUGCGUAGAUAUUAGGAGGAACACCGGUGGCGAAGGCGGCUUACUGGACUGUAACUGACGUUGAGGCUCGAAAGCGUGGGGAGCAAACAGGAUUAGAUACCCUGGUAGUCCACGCCGUAAACGAUGAUUACUAGGUGUCGGGGGAUCAAGGUCCUCCGGUGCCGGCGCAAACGCAUUAAGUAAUCCACCCGGGG
rnacentral:rRNA from 1 species